rnacentral:rRNA from 1 species
GGGGGAAUAUUGCACAAUGGGGGAAACCCUGAUGCAGCCAUGCCGCGUGUGUGAAGAAGGCCUUCGGGUUGUAAAGCACUUUCAGUUGUGAGGAAAGGUUAGUAGUUAAUACCUGCUAGCUGUGACGUUAACAACCGAAGAAGCACCGGCUAACUCCGUGCCAGCAGCCGCGGUAAUACUGGAGGGUGCGAGCGUUAAUCGGAAUUACUGGGCGUAAAGCGCACGCAGGCGGUUUGUUAAGCUAGAUGUGAAAGCCCCGGGCUCAACCUGGGAAUAGCAUUUAGAACUGGCWGGCUAGAGUCUUGGAGAGGGGAGUGGWAUUCCAGGUGUAGCGGUGUAAUGCGUAUAUA